GGAGACAUGUGGUACCAUGUCACUGUGCCAUAUUGCCAUGAAGUACACAGUUUUUUCAUGCACAGUGCACUGCUGAUAUAAUUACAACAUAAUGCCCUGACUCACAUCGGCCCACAAGCAACAGAAACAGAUGACCCAGGAAUGAAAUCAUGGAUUGAGUGCUUGAGAGUCAGUCAAAUGGAGUUUUACAUACAAGGAC